ensembl:lncRNA
GGAGGAAUCUAAGUCUCACUGUCAAAUUCACAAAAUCCCAAACCCACUGAGUGAGCAACAGAUGAGAGAAAUUGUUCCACAUCCCACCGAGAGGAAAUGAACGGGACUGGAAGAAGAAUGUGCUGCGUGGUGUGAAAGCUGUUUUGAUUCCUGAUGCUGAACAUCUGCCACAUGGCGCAGGGAGCCACCAUCUCGUACACACAGCAAGGACCCUCUGUGCACAGGCGGGAGCUGUGGCCCUCAGCAGCUGUGGGAACGCGGACAGGAAGCAGGGGACCCUGGAAGAGAGACAUCUGCCAUGACACAGGUUCGGAUAAUAGCCACUGCCACCAAGUUGUCUAAGGCCUGGUCCUCUCUGGCUCUGUGCCUUUCAGAUCUCCAGAAGGUUUGAACACCGAGGAGGCUUCAACUUCUUCCUGUGAGGAGAGAGGAGAGCAGCUUGGAAGGCUCGUUCUCAGUACAGCUCAUUUUCUCAUGGGGAUUCCUCUCCCUCUGAAGCCUGCUUGGUGGACCAUGUGGCUUCAUUCAGGCACUCAGUGAAUACUCAAUAAAUGCUCCUCGAAUUGAGUGCGCCUUCUUAGAAUCCUCAGCAUUCCCACCAGGACGUCCUACACCCCAGUGACAUCCCUAAUAUCUCCGUACACCAUCUAGGCUUCAGACCCAGCUUCCUCCGAGACCACUGCUGCAUCUUUGUUUCACAUUCUCACAGGUUUUACUGAGAAAUGUGACCAUCCACCUGCACCCAGCAAACUAAAGGGAAGGAGGUCAGGAGCAAGGAUCCGCCCACAGAACGCAAGAGUCACAAAGCAGUGUUCAAAAGACUCCAGGAUUUGGAGCUGAACAUCUCUUCUGAUUUCCCAAAGCUGAUGGAAAUAUUCUGGAGGUAUUAAUAGAAUGCAGAUGUUGGAGAAUGCGACUUAGAAUUCUGCUGAACAAAUGACCCUGUUGGGAGGUCGUUUCCAGUCUCCGGGGACAUUCCGCAGAGGGCCCAGCUGAUUGUCUCAUAUUGAAACAACAUGUCCAAAACACAUUCCCG